rnacentral:rRNA from 1 species
CUUUCUACAGGCUUAACACAUGCAAGUCGAGGGGCAGCAUUUCAGUUUGCUUGCAAACUGGAGAUGGCGACCGGCGCACGGGUGAGUAACACGUAUCCAACCUGCCGAUAACUCGGGGAUAGCCUUUCGAAAGAAAGAUUAAUACCCGAUGGUAUAAUCAGACCGCAUGGUCUUGUUAUUAAAGAAUUUCGGUUAUCGAUGGGGAUGCGUUCCAUUAGGCAGUUGGUGAGGUAACGGCUCACCAAACCUUCGAUGGAUAGGGGUUCUGAGAGGAAGGUCCCCCACAUUGGAACUGAGACACGGUCCAAACUCCUACGGGAGGCAGCAGUGAGGAAUAUUGGUCAAUGGGCGCAGGCCUGAACCAGCCAAGUAGCGUGAAGGAUGACUGCCCUAUGGGUUGUAAACUUCUUUUAUAUGGGAAUAAAGUUUUCCACGUGUGGAAUUUUGUAUGUACCAUAUGAAUAAGGAUCGGCUAACUCCGUGCCAGCAGCCGCGGUAAUACGGAGGAUCCGAGCGUUAUCCGGAUUUAUUGGGUUUAAAGGGAGCGUAGGUGGACAGUUAAGUCAGUUGUGAAAGUUUGCGGCUCAACCGUAAAAUUGCAGUUGAUACUGGCUGUCUUGAGUACAGUAGAGGUGGGCGGAAUUCGUGGUGUAGCGGUGAAAUGCUUAGAUAUCACGAAGAACUCCGAUUGCGAAGGCAGCUCACUGGACUGCAACUGACACUGAUGCUCGAAAGUGUGGGUAUCAAACAGGAUUAGAUACCCUGGUAGUCCACACAGUAAACGAUGAAUACUCGCUGUUUGCGAUAUACAGUAAGCGGCCAAGCGAAAGCAUUAAGUAUUCCACCUGGGGAGUACGCCGGCAACGGUGAAACUCAAAGGAAUUGACGGGGGCCCGCACAAGCGGAGGAACAUGUGGUUUAAUUCGAUGAUACGCGAGGAACCUUACCCGGGCUUAAAUUGCAUUUGAAUAUAUUGGAAACAGUAUAGCCGUAAGGCAAAUGUGAAGGUGCUGCAUGGUUGUCGUCAGCUCGUGCCGUGAGGUGUCGGCUUAAGUGCCAUAACGAGCGCAACCCUUAUCUUUAGUUACUAACAGGUCAUGCUGAGGACUCUAGAGAGACUGCCGUCGUAAGAUGUGAGGAAGGUGGGGAUGACGUCAAAUCAGCACGGCCCUUACGUCCGGGGCUACACACGUGUUACAAUGGGGGGUACAGAAGGCAGCUACCUGGUGACAGGAUGCUAAUCCCAAAAGCCUCUCUCAGUUCGGAUCGAAGUCUGCAACCCGACUUCGUGAAGCUGGAUUCGCUAGUAAUCGCGCAUCAGCCAUGGCGCGGUGAAUACGUUCCCGGGCCUUGUACACACCGCCCGUCAAGCCAUGAAAGCCGGGGGUACCUGAAGUACGUAACCGCAAGGAGCGUCCUAGGGUAAAACUGGUAAUUGGGGCUAAGU